UACGUAGGGUCCGAGCGUUGUCCGGAAUUACUGGGCGUAAAGAGCUCGUAGGUGGUUUGUCGCGUUGUCCGUGAAAACUCACAGCUCAACUGUGGGCGUGCGGGCGAUACGGGCAGACUGGAGUACUGCAGGGGAGACUGGAAUUCCUGGUGUAGCGGUGGAAUGCGCAGAUAUCAAGAGGAACACCGGUGGCGAAGGCGGGUCUCUGGGCAGUAACUGACGCUGAGGAGCGAAAGCGUGGGGAGCGAACAGG
rnacentral:rRNA from 1 species